ACUCCUACGGGAGGCAGCAGUGGGGAAUAUUGCACAAUGGGGGAAACCCUGAUGCAGCCAUGCCGCGUGUGUGAAGAAGGCCUUCGGGUUGUAAGCACUUUCAGUAGGGAGGAAGGUAGUGUAGUUAACACCUGCACUAUUUGACGUUACCUACAGAAGAAGCACCGGCUAACUCCGUGCCAGCAGCCGCGGUAAUACGGAGGGUGCGAGCGUUAAUACGGAAUUACUGGGCGUAAAGCGCAUGCAGGCGGCCUGUUAAGUCAGAUGUGAAAGCCCGGGGCUUAACCUCGGAAUUGCAGUUUGAAACUGGCAGGCUAGAGUCUUGUAGAGGGGGGUAGAAUUUCAGGUGUGGCGGUGAAAUGCGUAGAGAUCUGAAGGAAUACCAGUGGCGAAGGCGGCCCCCUGGACAAAGACUGACCGCUCAGAUGCGAAAGCGUGGGGGAGC
rnacentral:rRNA from 1 species